rnacentral:rRNA from 1 species
UACGUUCCCGGGUCUUGUACACACCGCCCGUCACACCAUGGGAGCGGGUUUUACCAGAAGUAGUUAGCCUAACCGCAAGGGGGGCGAUUACCACGGUAGGAUUCGUGACUGGGGUG